UCCGAGGACAGGGGAGGAGAACUGAAGGGUAACGUGGGGUGUUUAUGAGAGCCAGGGGCGGAAGUGAUGGCUCUUCACUUUCACUUUCUUCCCAUUGGGCAGGUCCUCCUUGACCACCAAGGAGGGUGGGAACACAGAGAGGAGCACGUGGACAUUUGGGGAGCACUCCCAACCCCUGGCUGCUUGCUGUACCCCUAGAGCCCAACAUAGUAUAUGGUCCAUAAGAGAUGCUCAACUGAGAGUUGUUGAAUGAAUCGAUGAAUGAGCACCCAGAAGGAUGAGGAUGGAGAACAAGGUAGGAAGCUUGGAGGUCAACCACUUCACGCAGACAACUCAGGCCACCCUACGACCAUCUGAUGUCACCAGGGAGGUGGGGCUGCCCGAAGCUGGAGGGGACUUCCCUCCCCUGCACAAUGGGACACGCCGAAGUCCCUCCCUUCUGCAGGACAUCCCCAGAGUGGGGCGGGGCUGGUCCCUGGCAAGCCGGGGCAAGCAGGUGCCCGAGAACUUCCUAAGAGCUGAGGUUUCCUUCCCCAUCUUGGCCCACUGCCUCCUCUUCCUCCUCCUCCUCACCCUGCCUCGAGCAGUGAAUGCUGCGCUGGCUGAGGACUGUGAUGGCGGAGGAGGGCUCGGGCUGCCUGGUGCCCCGCCUGGCCUGGGCGUCCCUCCUGCGGGGCGUCUUCCUGCUAUUUCUCACUGGUGUGGUUAGCACCAUGGUGGUCUGCUGCAUCCUCUGCCUUCAGAAGCCUCAGGAGUCACGGGAGUGGGACAUAGCUGAGCUCCAGUUAAAUCACACAGGCCUGCGGCAGCAGGACCCUAGGCUGCGCUGGCAGGGGGGCCCCGCGCUGGGCCGCUCCUUCCUGCACGGGCCCACACUGGACAACGGGCAGCUUCGUGUCCAGCGUGAUGGCAUCUACAAGCUACACAUCCAGGUGACGCUGGCCAACUGCUCGUCCACGAGGACCACCACGCCCCGAGAGGCCACCCUGGCCGUGGGCAUCUGUGCCCCCGCCACCCGCCGCGUCAGCCUGCUGCGUCUCAAUUUCUACCUCGGCUGCACCGUCGCCUCCCAGCGCCUGACACCGCUGGCCCAGGGCGACACCCUCUGCACCAACCUCACAGUGCCGCUGCAGGCCUCCCGCAACGCCGAUGACACCUUCUUCGGGGUUCAGUGGGUGCACUCCUGGCCACCAUCCUCCUGACGUCCUCAGAAGCCCAGAUCCAGGGAGGAGUUUUCCGUUUUCCCUCGUCAUUCGCCUCUCCUUUGUUCUAGCUGUUGUCGAUUGCGUUCUCUCACGUGUUUGCAGUCAUCCGAAGGCUUGGUUCGGGCUGGAGGACCUUCUUCCAAGAUGGCUUAUUCACAUGGCUGCCAGUGGGUGCUGGCUUUUGGUUGGAGGCCUCGGUUCCUCUGCACAUGGCUUCUCCAUGGGGCUGCUUGAACGUUCUCAUAACUAAGCAGCUAGUUUCCUCCAGGGUGAGUGAUCCAAAAAGCAAGGCAGAUACUACAACAUCUUUAUGAUCUAGCCUGGAAAGUUACACACCCUAACUUUCUCAACAUCCUUUUGGUUACGCAGGCUAGCGCUUGUCAGUAUGGUAGGCGACUACAACACAAAGACCAUGAAUACUAGUAGGCAAGGAUCUUUAGGGGUCAUCUUUUAGGCUGGUUAUCAUGCAUGAUCAUCAUUAAUUUUUUUUUAUGGCCCUUUAGGUGAAAGUUUACAGCUGAAGUUAAUUUCUCAUACAAAAAUUUAUACACAUAUUGUUAACCCUGGUGGCGUAGUGGUUAAGUGCUACGGCUGCUAACCAAAGGGUUGGCAGUUCGAAUCCGCCAGGCGCUCCUUGGAAACUCCAUGGGGCAGUUCUACUCUUUCCUAUAGGGUCGCUAUGAGUUGGAACCAACUCGACAGCACUGGGUUUAUUGUUAAGUGACAUUAGCUGUAAACCCUACAAUGUGACAGCACGCUCCCUUUCCACCCCAGGUUCCCUAUGUCCAUUCGACCUGUUCCUGUCCCUUUCUGCCUUCUCAUCUUGCCUUCGGACAGGAGCCACCCAUUUUAUCUCGUUUAUCUGCUUGAACUAAGAAGCACACUCUUUACGAGUAUUUUUCUAUGUUUUAUAGUCCAGCCUAACCUUUGUCUGAAGAGUGGGCUUUGGAUCGCCAACAUUAUAAAAAUUCGGUUCUGUUCCAUUGUGCUUCGUCAACCACAAUUGAACCGGUUGGAACCUAUUUUUCACUCUCUGAGCUCAGAUUUCUAUUCUGCAAAUGGCUAACCUGGCGCAAUUUCAUCUGAAGAAAUACGGCUACCGAGUUAGUUUCUGCUAUUGCAAAUAAUAUUGCAUUUUUACAGUAACUCGAAUUUUGUUCAUCCCAAGAUUUUGUAGUCUUGAAAAGUAGCAAUAUUAAACUCUUUCUACAAUGCAUUAAUAAUUAAAUCUAAAGCAACAGUGAUGUUCAAUUUUCAUCACUGCUUCAAAAGAUUUCAAUGCAAAGAAAAACCCUAUCGAAAAUAUAUUAUUUUUUAAUUCUAUUUGUUAAAAAUUCACUGCAACACUGAGUCGCUUUAAAAACAGUAUUGUGAUUAAAAAAAAAAAAAAAACACUCCUAACAUACUGUAUAAAUAUUAAAUGGAAGAUUCAGAAUACUUUUUUAGUAGGAAAUUCUCAAUACUAUAAAAUAUACUGAGAACAAACUUAAUUUUGAUGUAGGCAGCAUUUCAGUACUAACACUUAACAGUCACGUAAAAUCGAUAAGCGUUUAUUCAUGAAAUACUGGAAAUGCAAAGUGUGCUAUCAGACCUAAUACUUCAAUGCAUAAAGGCAAAGCACACUGAAGUAUUUAAUACUUGAAUAUUCACCCCAGUUCUAAGCUGAAGAAUUGCCAUAACACUACAUAAAAUAAACAUUUGAUUACCUAGAUUCAGUUCAUACACAAUUAGUUCAUUAAGAAAAUAUCAUUGUAAUAAACCAUAAUUACACCUAGUUAAAAGAGUGUCCUCUAAUAUUUUUUUUCAUUUGUCUCGCAAGAUGAAUUUCACACCUGAGAAAACUCAGCACUGACCUGAGUAGCUGCUGCACCUAAAACUACUGUCAUGGAUUGAAUUGUGUCCCCCCAAAAAUAUGCGUCAACUUGGUUAGGCCAUGAUUCCCUAUGUUGUGUGGUUGUCCUCCAUUUUGUGAUUGUAAUUUUAUGUUAAAGAGGAUUAGGAUAGGAUGGGAACACCAUCCUUACCCAGGUCACAUCCCUGAUCCAAUAUAACGGAAGUUUCCCUGGGGUGUGGCCUGUACCACCUUUUAUCUCUCAAGAGAUAAAAAGAAAAGGGAAGCAAGCAGAGAGCUGGGAGCCUCAUAGCACCAAGAAAGCAGCAGUGGGAGCAGAGCACGUCCUUUGGACCCAGGAUCCCUCUGCCUGAGAAGCUCCUCAACCAGGGAAAGAUUGAGGACAAAGACCUUGCUCCAGAGCCAAUAGAGAGAGAAAGCCUUCCCCUGGAGCUGACAUCCUGAAUUUGGACUUUUAGCCUACUUGACUGUGAGGAAAUAAACUUCUCUUUGUUAAAGCCAUACACAUGUGGUGUUCCUGUUAUAGCAGCACUAGAUGACUAAGACAACUACCAUAGCAAUUUCAUACAACUGGGGAUACUGUAAAUGGUUUUGUUCCCAAAACACAAGAAAACUUUUUCUCUCAACUCUUUGAACACUGUCAAAGCUUGUAAAUAUGAAGCCAAUAUUAACGGCACAGUUGUUUGAUCUCAAUUUAACUUUUUUUUCCUUUCAUUUUGAGAAAUAACUCCAUCUCAUCAACAUCAUCAUUUGGAAGGAGAGUAUUUCCUGAAUGGCUUUCCUUUGUUUCACUUUCAGCAUUGCCUAAGACACUCCUUUCCAGAUUGUCUAUCACUUCCCAAACGCUUUUUGAAGGUCACAUAGCCUUGACCUUAAGUUGAGAACUAAUUAGAAUUUGAUAAGAAGGACCUAGAUAAG